CCAGAGCUACUGUGUCAGCAGAAGUUCUAAAGAGCUCAUGGUAAAGCUCAUGCUUUCACCUCUCGGAUUCAAGCUGAUUAAAGGGUUUGAGGAAAAGUGCCAUGGGCAAUAAAGAACAAUGAAGAUCAUUUCGAUGAGCUGCAGCACUACUGGUCUUCUCAUGAAAUUUUCAAAAUUUGGGAUGAGUGGCAAAUUUUUCAGCGAAUCCAAGGGAACCAGAAUAGGGAUGGUCAGCUUAGCAAGAGAAACCAAGACACCAGGAAAUACGGAGCAUCACACUGGGAAAAACUCAAGUGAAGGAGAUGAGUAUCAAGCCCAGGCAGAACAGAGGAGCUGCAAUGCAGGAGCCAGUCCUCCCUGUACAACCUUUAAGUGAGGAAGAGAUGAUUUCAGAGCUAACUAAGAGUUAACUGGCUACGUUUCAACUGUCACCAUUGUCUUAAAUCUACAUGGAGAGUGGAGACACCCAGAGAGGUGUAAGUACAGCAGGACGCUCGGAAAAAAAACAUUUCUCCUCCAGCACUCAGCGGAACUAUUUAUUAACCUGAGGGCAGUCCCUGGCCCACUGCAAGCAUGGCAGGAUCCGUGUAAGGGGGCAGAUACAGAGGAAGAUACGGGCUCACAAUCUAGCAAAGAUGUCCACAGAAGGAUGUGCUUCCCUCUAAGGAGCUAUCAGGUCCCAGUGACACUGCUGCCUUCUAACAUGGAUGUUCUUCAGCCUGCACCAUUUAUCCAUAGGACGCAGCUUUUUUUAUACCAGCUUCCCAAUACAGGGCUGAGGUUCCUAUGGAAAUACUGUCUGUCAGUGUUCCUACCUGUGCCUGUGGUGGGUGCUGAGUCUCAGGUGAGCUACAGACCACUGAUUAAAUGCACUCCCAUACCAGUGGUGAGCAAUCACAGCACACCAGUUUGGACAACCAUGUGUUCUCACUGAGCCCUGUUGCACUGUGCAGUAAUUAAAAAGUCAUGAGUCCUAUUUAAAUAUAGGGCAUUCUGUCCUAAACCUUUGAGUGCCCGUGGGUGUGAGUAAGCUCAUUCUCCAAGGAUGUUCUCUGGUCUGUGUACAUACACCAGCUUCAUCAAAAGGAUGUAGGAAAUGCCAGAUCCAGAUAUACAGAUUCCACUUUUUUUAAAAAUACAUCAUUGAUCAGUCCAGGGAUGGCAAAAAUUAAUAGUAAUGAGCUAAUUACUAUACCAGCUGCUUACAAAAGGGGUCCUGUAGGCAGACUCCUUCUGCCCAUUUGCCUGCUGGUUAAACCACCACUCUAGAAAUUAUAAAACAAAACUUUUUUCUCUUUAUAAACAUCUAUCAGCGUCACCUUAAUAUGGCCCACAGCACCAACACUGCCUAGCUUUUAAGUUCUCAGAAUGCAGCCAGAAUCUCCCCUAGCACAUUAUAACACAUUUUACUGGUUUGAGCAGGGUAGAACACAGCCUUCUCCUCAAAUGAAUGGCUGGUGAGCUCCAGCAGCCCCUGCACGAGGCCGGGCUCACCAUCUGUGUUCCUCCCAACAUCCAUAGCCCCUUCACAAGUGCCAGCCCUUUGAAAAGCCAGCCUGUUUUUCUGAUUGAUUCACUUUUUAAUGAACUGGGAAUGCCUGUGAACUUAAACCCUGACACCUCCACCUCCCUGCCUUCCUAGCCGUCCCUGCAGCAAUGUACUGAUUAUAUUUCAAGUUAUUAUGGGAUUAAUACAGCUGCCCCCGGUGCCUCUUUCCCCUGAACUCCAUCAAUAAAAGUUGUGUCCUAAUCUUA